rnacentral:rRNA from 1 species
ACUCCUACGGGAGGCAGCAGUGGGGAAUAUUGCACAAUGGGCGCAAGCCUGAUGCAGCCAUGCCGCGUGUGUGAAGAAGGCCUUCGGGUUGUAAAGCACUUUCAGUCGUGAGGAAGGUAGUGUAGUUAAUAGCUGCAUUAUUUGACGUUAGCGACAGAAGAAGCACCGGCUAACUCCGUGCCAGCAGCCGCGGUAAUACGGAGGGUGCGAGCGUUAAUCGGAAUUACUGGGCGUAAAGCGCAUGCAGGUGGUUUGUUAAGUCAGAUGUGAAAGCCCGGGGCUCAACCUCGGAAUAGCAUUUGAAACUGGCAGACUAGAGUACUGUAGAGGGGGUAGAAUUUCAGGUGUAGCGGUGAAAUGCGUAGAGAUCUGAAGGAUACCGGUGGCGAAGGCGGCCCCUGGACAGAUACUGACACUCAGAUGCGAAAGCGUGGGAGCGAAACAGGAUUAGAUACCCCGUGGUAGACUGUCA